rnacentral:rRNA from 1 species
AGAGUUUGAUCCUGGCUCAGAUUGAACGCUGAUGCUUUACACUGCAAGUCGAACGGUAACAGGCCUUCGGGCGCUGACGAGUGGCGAACGGGUGAGUAAUGUAUCGGAACGUACCUUUCAGUGGGGGAUAACGUAGCGAAAGUUACGCUAAUACCGCAUAUUCUGUGAGCAGGAAAGCAGGGGAUCGCAAGACCUUGCGCUGAUUGAGCGGCCGAUAUCAGAUUAGCUAGUUGGUGAGGUAAAGGCUCACCAAGGCGACGAUCUGUAGCGGGUCUGAGAGGAUGAUCCGCCACACUGGAACUGACACGGUCCAGACUCCUACGGGAGGCAGCAGUGGGGAAUUUUGGACAAUGGGGGCAACCCUGAUCCAGCCAUGCCGCGUGAGUGAAGAAGGCCUUCGGGUUGUAAAGCUCUUUCGGCCGGGAAGAAAUCGUACGGGUUAAUACCCUGUGCGGAUGACGGUACCGGCAUAAGAAGCACCGGCUAACUACGUGCCAGCAGCCGCGGUAAUACGUAGGGUGCGAGCGUUAAUCGGAAUUACUGGGCGUAAAGCGUGCGCAGGCGGUUUUGUAAGACAGGCGUGAAAUCCCCGGGCUCAACCUGGGAACUGCGCUUGUGACUGCAAGGCUAGAGUAUGGCAGAGGGGGGUGGAAUUCCACGUGUAGCAGUGAAAUGCGUAGAGAUGUGGAGGAACACCAAUGGCGAAGGCAGCCCCCUGGGCCAAUACUGACGCUCAUGCACGAAAGCGUGGGUAGCAAACAGGAUUAGAUACCCUGGUAGUCCACGCCCUAAACGAUGUCAACUAGGUGUUGGGUGGGUAAAACCAUUUAGUACCGUAGCUAACGCGUGAAGUUGACCGCCUGGGGAGUACGGGCCGCAAGGGUUAAAACUCAAAGGAAUUGACGGGGACCCGCACAAGCGGUGGAUGAUGUGGAUUAAUUCGAUGCAACGCGAAAA